UGAGAUUUCCCAAUUAGUAAGACCCCUUGAAGACGACGAGGUAGAUAGGUUGGGGGUGGAAGUGCAGUAAUGCAUGGAGCUGACCAAUACUAAUCGGUCGAGGGCUUAUCCUAAA
rnacentral:rRNA from 1 species